rnacentral:rRNA from 1 species
UACGUAGGGUGCAAGCGUUAAUCGGAAUUACUGGGCGUAAAGCGCGCGCAGGCGGCUUUGUAAGUCAGAUGUGAAAUCCCCGGGCUCAACCUGGGAACUGCAUUUGUGACUGCAUGGCUAGAGUACGGUAGAGGGGGAUGGAAUUCCGCGUGUAGCAGUGAAAUGCGUAGAUAUGCGGAGGAACACCGAUGGCGAAGGCGAUCCCCUGGACCUGUACUGACGCUCAUGCACGAAAGCGUGGGGAGCAAACAGG